rnacentral:lncRNA from 1 species
CGACAACGUAGCCAGGUGAAACAGCUGCCACCGAGGGGCAGAGACAACUGGCAUGUUUCCAACAGAUCUUCAGAGGGAAGGCACCGGGAGUGGACUGCUGGACACCCGGAGUGGACUGCAGGAGGACACAGAAGCUAGGCUGAAGCGGGAGGAAGCUGGGAACCCUGCACGGGGCCACUGCGCACUGGGACUCGUUACUGGUCCCCAAGACUCAGGGAGAAUGGGGAAGAGUGUAUCACAGCCAUUGGGAACUUUCUUCACCCAUCAAAGCCUCAGGGCUGAAGCAUCCUGAACAAGAACUCAGGAGAGUGAAAGAAACAGUUACCUGUCGGCUGCAGCUGGUACCAGCUCCCCACCCUGUACAGAGACCGAAGCGUCCUCUCUCUCCCCAUCACCCAGCACCAGACUCUGCCCCGUGACCUCAGCCUGCACCUGCUUCCUGGCUCCAUCCAGCCUUCCAGCCUCACUAGAUCAUCAUGGGCCACUGGCCAACACACAGGGCAGUGCCGAGCCCAGGCCGUGGUCACACAUGGCUGGUUUAGUAGCUGAAAACAUUGUUUUUCACUGGCCUCACAGUAAUGGCACCUGCCCCCAUUUUCUGUGAUUGAAUUUUUGGAUCCUGCUACCAGGUUAUGAUAGAUUUUAUGGUAUGUCUCAAGAUGUUGAGAUAAAGGUAAUAAAACAGCUAUAAAGUCCUGGCUCAAGAAGUGUUACAAACCCAAGCAGGGUAACUACAAGAAAACUGCACCCAGACACAACAUAGUAAAAUUGCUGAAAACCAAAGAUGAAUAGAACACUUAACAGUUGGAGGAAAAAAGCCACAUUACCUUCAUAAGGACACCAAUCACACUAACAUCUGACUUCGAAAUAGAAAUAUAAAAGCCAAACUACAAGGGAAUGUGAUCUUCAAAAUAUUGAAAGAAUUUAAUUGUUAAGUGAAAUAAUUAACUGCCAACCUAAAUUCUAUUCCUAGUGGAAAUACUCUCCAAGAAUAAAGGUGAAAUAAAUACAGACUCACACAAGAGAAAUCAAGAGUGUUCUUCCUCAGGAGACAUGAGCUGAUUGUAUAGAAGAGGUGUUUGAAACGUCCUUAGAGGGAGGGCUAGAGACACAGGGAGGAGAAACCUCAGAACACACCUUCUACUGAGGGCCAAAAAAGUCAACUAUCGAUUCUUUGAAAGUGCCCCAAACUCGUAAAUCUCUGGUGAUGCUGACCAAGAAAACAAUGAAGGAAGGCACCCUGCGAUGGGGAAGGAAAAGGGGAGAUUGCUGGAGAUCUGUGGACAUUAAAAAUAGGCACAUAUACACUAUGGAAUACUAUGCAGCCAUAAAAAAGGAUGAGUUCAUGUCCUUUGUAGUGACAUGGAUGAAGCUGGAAACCAUCAUUCUCAGCAAACUAUCGCAAGGACAGAAAACCAAACACUGCAUGUUCUCACUCAUAGGUGGGAAUUGAACAAUAAGAACACUUGGACACAGGGUGGGGAACAUCACACACCGGGGCCUGUCGGGGGGUGGGGGGAGGGGGGAGGGAUAGCAUUAGGAGAUAUACCUAAUGUAAAUGAUGAGUUAAUGGGUGCAGAACACCAGCAUGGCACAUGGAUACAUAUGUAACAAACCUGCACAUUGUGCACAUGUACCCUAGAACUUAAAGUAUAAUGAUAAUAGAAAAAAAAAUAGAGCACAAGGAACAUGCU